GUCCUCUUCCAUGUCAGAUCAUAUCAAAGCCCGGAAGAGGCGCAGUCAAAUGGCUCAAGCGACUGUUUAACAAAAACACAGCACUCUGCUAACUCGAAAGAGGACGUAUAGGGUGUGACACGUGACCAAUGCGGAAAGGUUAAGGCAAGAAGUUAGCCGCAAGGCGACGCUUUGAACCGAAGCCCCCGUGAAUGUCGGCCGUAACUAUAACGGUCCUAAGGUAGCGAAAUUCCUUGUCGGGUAAGUUCCGACCUGCACGAAUCGUGUAACGACUUGAGCGCUGUCUCAACGAGGAUCUCGGUGAAAUUGUAGUUCAGAUGAAAAUGUCUGAUUCCCGCAGUAGGACGGAAAGACCCUGUGAACCUUUACUGUAACCUGAUAUGGGGUUCUGGAUUGUCAUAUGUAGCAUAGCUGGGAGGCAUUGAAGCGUGGCCGUCAGGUCACGUGGAGCCAUCAGUGAAUACCAGUUUUGUAUUGUUCGGAAUUCUAACCUCGACCCGUC
rnacentral:rRNA from 1 species